AUACUCGUUUCGGCGGUACAUAUACUAGAAUUGGAACGAUACAGAGAAGGUUAGCAUAUUAUGGUCCUUGCGCAGGGAUGACACGCAAAACCGUGAUUAAAAAAACCAUAAA